rnacentral:rRNA from 1 species
CCUACGGGAGGCAGCAGUGGGGGAUAUUGCACAAUGGGGGGAACCCUGAUGCAGCGACGCCGCGUGGGUGAAGAAGCGCCUCGGCGCGUAAAGCCCUGUCAGCAGGGAAGAAAAUGACGGUACCUGAAGAAGAAGCCCCGGCUAACUACGUGCCAGCAGCCGCGGUAAUACGGAGGGGGCAAGCGUUAUCCGGAUUUACUGGGGGUAAAGGGGGCGCAGGCGGCGAGGCAAGCCAGGAGUGAAAGCCCGGGGCUCAACCCCGGGACUGCUCUUGGAACUGCGUGGCUGGAGUGCAGGAGGGGCAGGCGGAAUUCCUGGUGUAGCGGUGAAAUGCGUAGAUAUCAGGAGGAACACCGGUGGCGAAGGCGGCCUGCUGGACUGCAACUGACGUUGAGGCCCGAAAGCGUGGGGAUCAAACAGGAUUAGAUACCCGAGUAGUC